GGGUGCCCUUCGGGGAGCCGUGAGACAGGUGCUGCAUGGCUGUCGUCAGCUCGUGUCGUGAGAUGUUGGGUUAAGUCCCGCAACGAGCGCUACCCCUAUGGAUAGUUGCCAGCAAGUAAUGUUGGGCACUCUAUUCAGACUGCCCGGGUUAACCGGGAGGAAGGUGGGGACGACGUCAAGUCAUCAUGGCCCUUACGCCUAGGGCUACACACGUACUACAAUGGCGCGCACAAAGGGGAGCGAGACCGCGAGGUGGAGCCAAUCCCAAAAAACGCGUCCCAGUCCGGAUUGCAGUCUGCAACUCGACUGCAUGAAGUUGGAAUCGCUAGUAAUUCGAGAUCAGCAUGCUCGGGUGAAUGCGUUCCCGGGCCUU
rnacentral:rRNA from 1 species